CUAGGGGCUCCUUGAAAUUUCCCGUUUUUUUUUGUGCAGUGCUGUGAAUUGUGUGCAGUAAGGCAUAGAAUAUUUUCAUUCGUCUCAUGAAUAAAAUAAUUUUUUAUCGAUUCACUAUUUCUUUUUGUAUUUUAACUAUAGCACACUGGCUUUAGAACCCUUCAGUGCUGCAGUGAAGUGUGUAAAUGUUGAUAUACGUAAUAUCGCACUGCUCAGCAAUUCUUUCGUUCCAAACAGCUAUGCACAGACUUUUGUGCAAAGAGAGAAUGAAUGUUUGCGUUCACGAACUGUGCUUGGGGUGCUGCCGAUGUUUUUAUUAAAUUUACUAACACCUUAGCUACUUCUGCUGCAAGAUUUAUGGCAACGCUUGCGUAGUGUUGUGAAGCUUGACGGAGUUGUAACGACAUCACAUGGUCUGCCCGAAAAAGACACGUUGAAGUUGAAGUUUGAAGUUGAAAUUUAUUUCUUUCUUUGUUACAGAAGGAAGAACAAGAGGUAAAGGCCAUGUGGCCUGACAGAGGCUCCUAAGCGCGUUCGGCAAACAUAUUCAAAGCAAAUACAGCACAAAAAAUGAGGAAUAAUUUGCAAAGAAACGAUUGGGGUCAUCCGCAUACAUUAUGAUAUUAGAGAAAAAGCACUUCAAGCCAUACAGGUUCACUUUUUGGAGGAAGCAUUAAAGUACCUAGAGCAGCUACUUGUGGCCUGAAGCAUCCAAACAACAGGGCGAUAUGAAUUUCAAUGUGGCAAAGUAUGCUGUCAAAUCCUUAGUUUUUAUUGGUUACCUUAGCCUGCAGCAAAAUGAUAAUAAAAAGCCAUAAAUUCCUA